rnacentral:rRNA from 1 species
UACGUAGGGGGCAAGCGUUGUCCGGAUUUAUUGGGCGUAAAGAGCGUGUAGGCGGCCAGGUAGGUCUGCUGUGAAAACUCGAGGCUCAACCUCGAGACGUCGGCGGAAACCAUCUGGCUAGAGUCCGGAAGAGGUGGGUGGAAUUCCUAGUGUAGAGGUGAAAUUCGUAGAUAUUAGGAAGAACACCGGUGGCGAAGGCGGCCCACUGGUCCGGUACUGACGCUGAGGUGCGAAAGCGUGGGGAGCAAACAGG